AGAGUUUGAUCAUGGCUCAGGAUGAACGCUGGCGGCGUGCCUAAUACAUGCAAGUCGAACGGGGUGUUUGAGCAAUCGAACACUUAGUGGCGAACGGGUGAGUAACGCGUUGGUGACCUGCCCCAAAGCGGGGGAUAACAGCCUGAAAGGGUUGCUAAUACCGCAUAUGGUCUAGAGGGCUUAGAAGCUUUAGAUUAAAGGAGAAAUCCACUUUGGGAGGGGCCUGCGUCCCAUCAGCUAGUUGGUAGGGUAAAAGCCUACCAAGGCGAUGACGGGUAGGGGACCUGAGAGGGUGACCCCCCACAAUGGAACUGAAACACGGUCCAUACACCUACGGGUGGCAGCAGUAGGGAAUAUUGCACCAUGGGCGCAAGCCUGAUGCAGCAACGCCGCGUGAGUGAUGAAGGCCCUCGGGUCGUAAAACUCUUUUCAAGAGGAAGAGGAAGGACGGUACUCUUGGAAUAAGCCUCGGCUAACUACGUGCCAGCAGCCGCGGUAACACGUAGGAGGCGAGCGUUAUUCGGAUUUACUGGGCGUAAAGCGCGUGUGGGCGGCUUUAUAAGUUGGAUGUGAAAGCUCCCGGCUUAACUGGGAGAGGACGUUCAAAACUAUAGAGCUAGAGUACGAGAGAGGAAAAUGGAAUUCCGGGUGUAGUGGUGAAAUGCGUAGAUAUCCGGAGGAACACCAGUGGCGAAGGCGAUUUUCUGGCUCGAGACUGACGCUCAGACGCGAAAGCUAGGGUAGCAAACGGGAUUAGAGACCCCGGUAGUCCUAGCUGUAAACGAUGUAGACUAGGCGUUGGUGGAGUAAAAUCCAUCAGUGCCGCAGCAAACGCGAUAAGUCUACCGCCUGGGGACUACGGCCGCAAGGUUAAAACUCAAUGAAUUGACGG
rnacentral:rRNA from 1 species